rnacentral:misc_RNA from 1 species
GAAAGACAUGCAUGGGAAGUUAGUGCCGCCCAUUGUGAGAUUUAUGUGUUAGUGCAUGUGGCGCAUUAAAUGUUCCUUAGUGGAGCGCAUGUGAAGCACAUGAGAAAUGGAAAUUGCAUGGCUUAAUUCACAUGCAUGUGCAUGACAUGGUAUGGCUACAUGAAGAUUUGGUAAUUGUGGUAGUGGAAUACCACGUGGGGACCAAAGUGGCCAAAUGUAUUUGUGCAUGGUUAUGGGACAAAUGGGGCGCACUAA